rnacentral:rRNA from 1 species
UACGAAGGGGGCUAGCGUUGCUCGGAAUCACUGGGCGUAAAGGGUGCGUAGGCGGGUCUUUAAGUCAGGGGUGAAAUCCUGGAGCUCAACUCCAGAACUGCCUUUGAUACUGAAGAUCUUGAGUUCGGGAGAGGUGAGUGGAACUGCGAGUGUAGAGGUGAAAUUCGUAGAUAUUCGCAAGAACACCAGUGGCGAAGGCGGCUCACUGGCCCGAUACUGACGCUGAGGCACGAAAGCGUGGGGAGCAAAUGGG